rnacentral:tRNA from 1 species
GCGGGGGUUCCCGAGCCAGGUCCAAGGGGGCGGAAGAAGCUGAGAAGCUCUGCCUAAACUCAAGAGGUGGCCUGGGGUAUCCGUUGGCGAAGGCCAUCGUGGGUUCAAAUCCCACCCCCCGCA